GGGUGUGUAGCUCAGCUGGUUAGAGCACUUCACUGAUAAUGAAGAGGUCGGAGGUUCGAGUCCUCCCACACCCACCA
rnacentral:tRNA from 2 species